UGGGGAAUCUUGCCCAAUGGGCGAAAGCCUGAGGCAGCGACGCCGCGUGAGGGAGGAAGGCCUUCGGGUUGUAAACCUCUUUCAGGAGGGACGAAGCUACUCGGGUGAAUAGCCCAGAGGGUGACGGUACCUCCAGAAGAAGCCCCGGCUAACUACGUGCCAGCAGCCGCGGUAAUACGUAGGGGGCAAGCGUUGUCCGGAUUUACUGGGCGUAAAGCGCGUGUAGGCGGCCACGCAGGUCCGUUGUGAAACUGGAGGCUUAACCUCCAGACGUCGACGGAAACCGUGUGGCUAGAGUCCGGAAGAGGAGAGUGGAAUUCCUGGUGUAGCGGUGAAAUGCGCAGAUAUCAGGAAGAACACCAAUGGCGAAGGCAGCUCUCUGGGACGGUACUGACGCUGAGACGCGAAAGCGUGGGGAGCGAACAGGAUUAGAUACC
rnacentral:rRNA from 1 species